rnacentral:rRNA from 1 species
UACGGGGGGUGCAAGCGUUAAUCGGAAUGACUGGGCGUAAAGGGCACGCAGGCGGUUGAUUAAGUUAGAUGUGAAAUCCCCGGGCUUAACCUGGGAACUGCAUUUAAAACUGGUCAGCUAGAGUCUUGUAGAGGGGGGUAGAAUUCCACGUGUAGCGGUGAAAUGCGUAGAGAUGUGGAGGAAUACCGGUGGCGAAGGCGGCCCCCUGGACAAAGACUGACGCUCAGGUGCGAAAGCGUGGGGAGCAAACAGG